rnacentral:rRNA from 1 species
UACGGAGGGUGCAAGCGUUAUCCGGAUUCACUGGGUUUAAAGGGUGCGUAGGUGGGCAAGUAAGUGAGUGGUGAAAUCUCCGGGCUUAACCCGGAAACUGCCAUUGAUACUAUUUGUCUUGAAUACUGUGGAGGUCAGCGGAAUAUAUCAUGUAGCGGUGAAAUGCUUAGAUAUGACAUAGAACACCAAUUGCGAAGGCAGCUGGCUACACAAAUAUUGACACUGAGGCACGAAAGCGUGGGGAUCAAACAGG